AAUCAAGCGCGAGAAGGGCGUUUGGUGGAUGCCUUGGCAGUAAGAGGCGAUGAAGGACGUGAUACUCUGCGAUAAGCCAUGAGGAGCUGAGAAUAAGCUGUGAUCCAUGGAUUUCCGAAUGGGGCAACCCACCUGACAGUUUGUUAUAAUUGCCUUUUGGCAGUUUAUAACGGGCUGAAACAGGUACUUUUUGACUGAAUACAUAGGUCUUAAAGAGCAAACCCGGAGAACUGAAACAUCUAAGUACCCGGAGGAAAGGACAGCAAUAGCGACUCCCCUAGUAGCGGCGAGCGAACGGGGACCAGCCGAGCCCAAUAAGUGACCAGAAUGCGUUGGGAAGCGCAGCCAUAGCGGGUGACAGCCCCGUAUGGGAAGCUUUGAGGGACGUAUCAAGUAGGGCGGAACACGUGAAAUUCUGUCUGAAGAUCGGAGGACCACCUUCGAAGGCUAAGUACUCCUUACUGACCGAUAGCGAACCAGUACCGUGAGGGAAAGGUGAAAAGCACCCCGACGAGGGGAGUGAAACAGUACCUGAAACCGAACGCCUACAAUCAGUCGGAGGGGCAUAAGCCCUGACGGCGUACCUUUUGUAUAAUGGGUCAUCGACUUGGUCUAUCUAGCAAGCUUAAGCCGUUAGGUGUAGGCGCAGCGAAAGCGAGUCUUAAUAGGGCGUUGAGUUAGAUGGAUCAGACCCGAAACCGAGUGAUCUAGGCAUGACCAGGAUGAAGGUUGGGUAACACCAACUGGAGGUCCGAACCCACACCUGUUGAAAAAGGUCGGGAUGAGUUGUGCCUAGGGGUGAAAGGCCAAUCAAACUCGGAGAUAGCUGGUUCUCUGCGAAAUCUAUUUAGGUAGAGCGUCAUCCGAAUACCCUCGGGGGUAGAGCACUGGAUGGGUAAUGGGGCCCCACAGGCUUACUGAUCCUAACCAAACUCCGAAUACCGAGGAGUACUAGAUGGCAGACAGACGGCGGAUGCUAACGUCCGUCGUCGAGAGGGAAACAACCCUGACCUCCGGCUAAGGCCCCCAAUUCAUGGCUAAGUGGGAAAGCAGGUGGGACGACCAAAACAACCAGGAGGUUGGCUUAGAAGCAGCCAUCCUUUAAAGAUAGCGUAACAGCUCACUGGUCUAAAUAAGUUGUCCUGCGGCGAAGAUGUAACGGGGCUCAAGCCAUGAGCCGAAGCCGAGGAUGCCGUAAGGCAUGGUAGCAGAGCGUAGUGUGACAUGGUUUCUAUCCUCUUUAGUGUCCUUCGGGACACCAUGGAGGAGAAGAAAUCUUCGAUGAAGCGGGCCUGUGAGGGAUCCCGUGGAGAGAUCACUAGUGAGAAUGAUGACAUGAGUAGCGAUAAAGGGUGUGAGAGACACCCUCGCCGAAAGUCCAAGGGUUCCUGCUUAAAGCUAAUCUGAGCAGGGUAAGCCGACCCCUAAGGCGAGGCCGAAAGGCGUAGUCGAUGGGAACCAGGUUAAUAUUCCUGGGCCAGAUGGAAGUGACGGAUCUCAAAGGUUGUUCGUUCUUAUCGGAUUGAACGGGCCGCUCAGAGGUUCCUGGAAAUAGCUCCAUCGCUAGAUCGUACCCGAAACCGACACAGGUGGACUGGUAGAGAAUACCAAGGCGCUUGAGAGAACUAUGUUGAAGGAACUCGGCAAAAUACCUCCGUAAGUUCGCGAGAAGGAGGCCCGGUUUCUAGGCAACUAGAGGCUGGGGGCACAAACCAGGGGGUGGCGACUGUUUACUAAAAACACAGGGCUCUGCGAAGUCGCAAGACGACGUAUAGGGUCUGACGCCUGCCCGGUGCCUGAAGGUUAAAAGGAGGGGUGAGAGCUCUGAAUUGAAGCCCAGGUAAACGGCGGCCGUAACUAUAACGGUCCUAAGGUAGCGAAAUUCCUUGUCGGGUAAGUUCCGACCUGCACGAAUGGCGUAACGACUUCCCCGCUGUCUCCAACAUAGACUCAGCGAAAUUGAAUUGCCUGUCAAGAUGCAGGCUUCCCGCGGUUAGACGGAAAGACCCCGUGCACCUUUACUAUAGCUUCGCACUGGCAUCAGGAUUGUGAUGUGCAGGAUAGGUGGUAGGCUUUGAAGCAGGGACGCUAGUCCCUGUGGAGCCUCCCUUGAGAUACCACCCUUCGCACUCUUGAUGUCUAACCGCGGCCCGUUAUCCGGGUCCGGGACCCUGCGUGGUGGGUAGUUUGACUGGGGCGGUCGCCUCCUAAAGCGUAACGGAGGCGCGCGAAGGUUGGCUCAGAGCGGUCGGAAAUCGCUCGUUGAGUGCAAUGGCAGAAGCCAGCCUGACUGCGAGACUGACAAGUCGAGCAGAGUCGAAAGACGGCCAUAGUGAUCCGGUGGUCCCAAGUGGGAGGGCCAUCGCUCAACGGAUAAAAGGUACGCCGGGGAUAACAGGCUGAUACUGCCCAAGAGUCCAUAUCGACGGCAGUGUUUGGCACCUCGAUGUCGGCUCAUCUCAUCCUGGGGCUGGAGCAGGUCCCAAGGGUACGGCUGUUCGCCGUUUAAAGAGGUACGUGAGCUGGGUUUAGAACGUCGUGAGACAGUUCGGUCCCUAUCUGCCGUGGGUGUAGGAUACUUGAGAGGAGUUGCCCCUAGUACGAGAGGACCGGGGUGAACGAACCACUGGUGGACCUGUUGUGGCGCCAGCCGCAGUGCAGGGUAGCUAUGUUCGGACAGGAUAACCGCUGAAGGCAUCUAAGCGGGAAGCCCCCCUCAAAACAAGGUAUCCCUGAGGGCCGUGGUAGACCACCACGUCGAUAGGCCGGAGAUGUAAGCGCAGCAAUGCGUUCAGUUGACCGGUACUAAUGGCCCGAUAGGCUUGAUUUG
rfam:Roseovarius sp. TM1035 1101493006646, whole genome shotgun sequence.